AUUGAACGCUGGCGGCAGGCUUAACAUAUGCAAGUUGAGCGAGCGUCGGACGGGUGAGUAAUGUUUUGGAAACUGCCUGAUGGAGGGGGAUAACUACUGGAAAUGGUAGCUAAUACCGCAUACCAUCCGAACUGCCCAGAUGGGAUUAGCUCGUGGGUGGGGUAAUGGCGCACCUAGGCGACGAUACCUAGCUGGUCUGAGAGGAUGACCAGCCACACUGGAGAUGGGACACGGUCCCGUAUCCUCGGUGAGGGAGCAUUGGGGAAUAUUGCACAGUGGGCGCAAGCCUGAUGAAGCCAUGCCGCGUGUGUGAGGAGGGCAUUCGGGUUGUAAAGCACUUUCGGCGGGGAGGCGUUACUCGCAGAGGAGGCACCGGGUAACGCCGUGCCAGCAGCCGCGGUAAUAC
rnacentral:rRNA from 1 species